rnacentral:rRNA from 1 species
AGUGAACGCUGGCGGUAGGCCUAACACAUGCAAGUCGAACGGCAGCACAGGAGAGCUUGCUCUCUGGGUGGCGAGUGGCGGACGGGUGAGGAAUACAUCGGAAUCUACUCUGUCGUGGGGGAUAACGUAGGGAAACUUACGCUAAUACCGCAUACGACCUACGGGUGAAAGCAGGGGAUCUUCGGACCUUGCGCGAUUGAAUGAGCCGAUGUCGGAUUAGCUAGUUGGCGGGGUAAAGGCCCACCAAGGCGACGAUCCGUAGCUGGUCUGGGAGGGUGAGCAGCCACACUGGAACUGGGACACGGUCCAGACUCCUACGGGAGGCAGCAGUGGGGAAUAUUGGACAAUGGGCGCAAGCCUGAUCCAGCCAUACCGCGUGGGUGAAGAAGGCCUUCGGGUUGUAAAGCCCUUUUGUUGGGAAAGAAAUCCAGCUGGCUAAUACCCGGUUGGGAUGACGGUACCCAAAGAAUAAGCACCGGCUAACUUCGUGCCAGCCGCCGCAGUAA